rnacentral:rRNA from 1 species
CCUACGGUGGGCAGCAGUAGGGAAUAUUGCUCAAUGGGGGAAACCCUGAAGCAGCAACGCCGCGUGGAGGAUGAAGGUUUUGGAUUGUUAAACCCUUUUGUUAGAAAAGAAUAUGAAGGUAUCCAAACAAAAAACACCGGCUCACUCCGUGCCAGCAGGCGCGGUAAUACGGAGGGGGGAAGCGUUAAUCGGAAUCACUGGGCGUAAAGAGCGGGUAGGCGGGAUUGGCAGUCAGAGGUGAAAUACUAUGGCUUAACCAUAGAACUGCAUUUGAAAAUGUUAGUCUAGAGUAUGGGAGAGGUAGGUGGAAUUCUUGGUGUAGGGGUAAAAUCCGUAGAGAUCAAGAGGAAUACUCAUUGCGAAGGCGACCUGCUAGAACAUAACUGACGCUGAUGCGCGAAAGCGUGGGGAGCAAACAGGAUUAGAUACCCCUGUAGUC